rnacentral:rRNA from 1 species
AGAAUCAACGCUGGCGGCGUGCCUAACACAUGCAAGUCGAACGAGAAAGUGGAGCAAUCCAUGAGUAAAGUGGCGACCGGGUGAGUAACACGUGACUAACCUACCUUCGAGUGGGGAAUAACCUCGGGAAACCGGGGCUAAUACCGCAUAAUGUCUUCGGACCAAAGGAGCAAUUCGCUUGAAGAGGGGGUCGCGGCCGAUUAGCUAGUUGGCGGGGUAACGGCCCACCAAGGCGAUGAUCGGUAGCCGGCCUGAGAGGGCGCACGGCCACACUGGAACUGAAACACGGUCCAGACUCCUACGGGAGGCAGCAGUGGGGAAUUUUGCGCAAUGGGGGAAACCCUGACGCAGCAACGCCGCGUGGAGGAUGAAGCCCCUUGGGGUGUAAACUCCUUUCGACCAAGACGAUAAUGACGGUACUGGUGGAAGAAGCACCGGCUAACUCUGUGCCAGCAGCCGCGGUAAUACAGAGGGUGCAAGCGUUGUUCGGAAUUAUUGGGCGUAAAGGGCGCGUAGGCGGCGCGACAAGUCACCUGUGAAAUCUCCGGGCUUAACUCGGAGCCUGCAGGCGAAACUGUCGUGCUGGAGUAUGGGAGAGGUGCGUGGAAUUCCCGGUGUAGCGGUGUAAUGCGUAGAUAUCGGGAGGAACACCUGUGGCGAAAGCGGCGCACUGGGCCAUAACUGACGCUGAGGCGCGAAAGCUAGGGGAGCAAACAGGAUUAGAUACCCUGGUAGUCCUAGCCCUAAACGAUGAUUGCUUGGUGUAGCAGUACCCAAUCCUGCUGUGCCGCAGCUAACGCGAUAAGCAAUCCGUCUGGGGAGUACGGUCGCAAGGCUGAA